rnacentral:lncRNA from 1 species
GGAGUCUUGGCGGAGAAAGCAAUGGCAACCUACUCCAGUACUCUUGCUUGGAAAAUCCCAUGGACGGAGGAGCCUGGUAGGCUGCAGUCCAUGGGGUUGCUAAGAGUCAGGCACGACUGAGCGACUUCACUUUCAUUUUCACUUUUAUGCAUUGGAGAAGGAAAUGGCAACCCACUCCAGUAUUCUUGCCUGGAGAAUCCCAGGGACAGAGGAGCCUAGUGGGCUGCCGUCUAUGGGGUCGCACAGAGUUGGACACGAUUGAACCGACUUAGCAGCAGCAGCAGCAGGAGUCUUGGAGUUUAAAUGGGAUGCUUCUUUAGAGUGUGAGUGUUAUGUGAAGUGUAAACAGGAGAGGAACAAGGGGUCGGCUUCAAGAAACACAGAGUUGAAGAGGGGAGAUUUCUUCUUGCCAAAGGUGGUCCCAGUAACUACAGCACCUUCACUAAAUGGGCCUGAUUGAGGACCUGCCUGCUCAUCCUUGCAGCCAAGAUGCAGGCCUGGCAGAGCCAGUCUCCUGAUGACUCAUCGUCCCUUCAGAGGUUUCCUGGACCCCUACUCAAGAAAACACUGGGCUGUGCCUCUCAAGUACAGCAAUGAACAGGUGUUCUUUGGCAGGUGUUUCCAUGACCUGAGGGUGUUUCUGAGCUGUGGAGGACGCCUGCAGCCACAUCUGCAGAAACCAGGCCAUGGCAGCUCCUCCUACCAGGCCAGGAAGGGUGCCCUGGCUGUGGUCACCAUGUCCUGAGAGUCUCCUCCUUCAAGUCAGGAACCUUCCAACCCCCUUCCACUCCACCUGCUAUUUCUGGGACUCUGCCUGGAGAGGGGGACAAAGCGGAGAUCAUCCGCCAGGCCAGCCUGUCCUUAACUUUUCUCUCUAAGAUGUGUCUGAAGGGUGUGGAUGGAGAGCUGAAGGAAGAGAAGAUCUUCUGGGUUCUAAUCCCUCCUCUGUCUUGAAUUUGCUGUGUGACCUUGGGAGAGUUACUUCACCUCUCUGGCCUUCCUGUUUUUCAACUGUGGAAUAAGAAGGUAUCCCAGGCAUGGAUUCAGACCACCCAGGACUGAAUCCUGAAUCCACCACUAACAAGCUCUGCGACCUUGGACAGCCUUUCAGAAACUUAGUGUCCUCAUCUGUAUGAAUGAGAUGACCUACCUCAACAGCCGUUGAGAAGAUUAAAAGAGAUAAUCCAUGUGAAGUCCUCAGCAUAGUGCCUGGCUCACAGUAAACAAUCAAUAAAUGUUUGCUGUAAUUAUUAUUAUUACCA